rnacentral:rRNA from 1 species
AGUGAACGCUGGCGGUAGGCCUAACACAUGCAAGUCGAACGGCAGCACAGUAAGAGCUUGCUCUUACGGGUGGCGAGUGGCGGACGGGUGAGGAAUACAUCGGAAUCUACUUUUUCGUGGGGGAUAACGUAGGGAAACUUACGCUAAUACCGCAUACGACCUACGGGUGAAAGCAGGGGAUCUUCGGACCUUGCGCGACUGAAUGAGCCGAUGUCGGAUUAGCUAGUUGGCGGGGUAAAGGCCCACCAAGGCGACGAUGCGUAGCUGGUCUGAGAGGAUGAUCGGCCACACUGGAACUGAGACACGGUCCAGACUCCUACGGGAGGCAGCAGUGGGGAAUAUUGGACAAUGGGCGCAAGCCUGAUCCAGCCAUGCCGCGUGGGUGAAGAAGGCCUUCGGGUUGUAAAGCCCUUUUGUUGGGAAAGAAAAGCAGCAGGUUAAUACCCCGCUGUUCUGACGGUACCCAAAGAAUAAGCACCGGCUAACUUCGUG